rnacentral:rRNA from 1 species
UCGGGAAUUUUGGGCAAUGGGCGAAAGCCUGACCCAGCAACGCCGCGUGAGGGAUGAAGUAUUUCGGUAUGUAAACCUCGAAAGAAUGGGAAGAAUAAAUGACGGUACCAUUUAUAAGCUCCGGCUAACUACGUGCCAGCAGCCGCGGUAAUACGUAGGGAGCAAGCGUUGUUCGGAUUUACUGGGCGUAAAGGGCGCGUAGGCGGCGCGGUAAGUCACUUGUGAAAUCUCUGAGCUUAACUCAGAACGGCCAAGUGAUACUGCUGUGCUAGAGUGCGGAAGAGGCAACCGGAAUUCAUGGUGUAGCGGUGAAAUGCUUAGAUAUCAAGAGGAACACCUGAGGCGAAGGCGGGUUGCUGGGCCGACACUGACGCUGAUGCGCGAAAGCCAGGGGAGCAAACG